GACGAACGCUGGCGGCGUGCUUAACACAUGCAAGUCGAACGGAAAGGCCCUGCUUUUGUGGGGUGCUCGAGUGGCGAACGGGUGAGUAACACGUGAGUAACCUGCUCUUGACUUUGGGAUAACUUCAGGAAACUGGGGCUAAUACCGGAUAGGAGCUCCUGCUGCAUGGUGGGGGUUGGAAAGUUUCGGCGGUUGGGGAUGGACGGGCGGCUUAUCAGCUUGUUGGUGGGGUAGUGGCUUACCAAGGCUUUGAAGGGUAGCCGGCCUGAGAGGGUGACCGGGCACAUGGGUACUGAGAGAGGGCCCAGACUCCUACGGGAGGCAGCAGUGGGGAAUAUUGCACAAUGGGCGGAAGCCUGAUGCAGCAGCGCCGCGUGCGGAAUGACGGCCUUCGGGUUGUAAACCGCUUUCGCCUGUGACGAAGCGUGAGUGACGGUAAUGGGUAAAGAAGCACCGGCUAACUACGUG
rnacentral:rRNA from 1 species